ensembl:lncRNA
GCAGCCCAUUGGGCUCCCCAGUCCCUGGCAUUCUCCAGGCAAGAACACUGGAGUGGGUUGCCAUUUCCUUCUCCAAUGCAUGAAAGUGAAAAGUGAAAGGGAAGUCGCUCAGUCUUGUCGGACUCUUAGCGACCCCAUGGACUGCAACCUACCAGGCUCCUCUGUCCAUGGGAUUUUCCAGUCAAGAGUACUGGAGUGGGCUGCCAUUGCCUUCUCCAAAAAUAACCCUAGUCUUUAUUUAAAAGGAGAUGUUUGCUCUGGAGAAUGAGAAGGUGGUGAAUUCUGACAACACCAAGUGCUAGCAAGACUAGGGCAGGGGCGGUGACUGGAAUUCUCGUGUUGAUUUUGCUGGUGCAGAUAGAACAUUUUAUCAGGAACAUCAUCUGUAGUCUCAUAAAUUAAGCGUGUAAUCUGAUCCAGCAACUCCACUAGGUAUUUAUCCCGACUGCAUAAAACGUGCAUCUACAAGACUUGUACAAGGAGUAUUCUAGGCAGCUUUAUUCAAAACAGCACCUACGGAGAGACACCCCAACAGCAGUGAAACUUAGGACAAGACCACCGUGUUGAAGAUGAUGAAUAAAAUGAAGACACUAAUUUGAGCACUAUUAUUUUCACCGAGGACUUGCUGAGAGAUUCCAUUUUGCCAGACACUGCAGCAAAGUGAAGCGGAUUCCUAUUUCAUUUCUGCUGAAACUGGCCUCCAGUCCACUUCCCCAGUCUGCUCCCUUCUCCCUUCAUGAAGCCUUAGUUUCUAGAGCAUGGUCCAGCCCUUCUCCCUAAAUCCACACUUAUGGAGUCUCUUCCCUAUACAAGGUUCAUCACUGUCCUUCUUGCAGUCCACAAAGUGGAAGUACAGGGCUUGGUGAGUGGAGCUCUUGGAUUUCAGCUGCCACAAGUUCCCUGUGUAGUCAUCAAUCUGCACAUCCGAACAGGCCAGACCUGUGCCCUCAGGGCUCCCAUCUAACUCCAGACUUAAGUCUUAUCUGCUUUGUAGCCCCCACAGCCUGGCGGUUUCUUCUUCCUCUAAACUCCUUUGAGUCAGGUUGCUUACUUACAUGACACUCUAAAAAACAUUUUAAACUUUGCU